AAGUCUGACAGACCAUCAAUCACCUACCUGUACUGACGGUGAGGAGAGCCAUUCCUGAAGCUAUUUUAAAUGUACUACUUUGUUGACAUCACUGUGGAUGUCAAAGGAGAGGAGAGGGAUGAAACCGAAAUCAAGGCCUGGCUUGUCCAGGUUUUCCAAAACAACCUGGAGAGCUGCGUGUCCCCGAACAAUGAAUCAACAACUGCCCCACCUACUUCCACACAUACAAAUGAGACGACACUCAUGACGACAGCAACAACAAUACAAAGCUUUAACACAACUACAGCUACAACAGUUUUGACAAGCAAUGACACAACUACAGCUACAAUAGUUUUAACAAGCAACAACACAACUCCAGCCUCAACAUCAAAUACGUUUAACAGCAACAACACAACUCCAGCCUCAACAUCAACAACGCUUACAAGCAACAACACAACUCCAGUCUCAACAUUAACAACGUUAAAAAGCAACAACACAUCUCCAGUCUCAACAUUAACAACGUUAAAAAGCAACAACACAUCUCCAGUCUCAACAUUAACAACGUUAAAAAGCAACAACACAACUCCAGUCUCAACAUCAACAACUUUUAACAGCAACAACACAACUCCAGCCUCAACACUAACAACGUUAAAAAGCAACAACACAACUCCAGUCUCAACAUCAACAACGUUUAACAGCAACAACACAACUCCAGCCUCAACACUAACAACGUUAAAAAGCAACAACACAAAUCCAGUUGCAAUAUCAACAACGUUACAAACCGUCAGCACAACUGCAGCUGCAACAACAACAACUUUACAGCCCAGCUCGACAACCUCUUUACUUGACCCCAGUGUGACCACACAGGCGCCUGGCGGCGGAGGAAACGUCAAACCAACGAAGAAGCCAAAUCCCAGUGGAAACAAGCAACGCAUAGCUCGUGAGAUUCACGGCAAUGUGACAGAAGCCAGUGGGAACAGUAAUGGCAUCACAACCGGCCUGUAUCAAGAUAUGGAAGUGAACUGCGCCAUGAAGACUGCAAUAAGAAACACCAACUGUACUGUGAUGCUGAAGCUGAGGCAGAGUGUGCCGCCAUGUUGUAUCCUCCGUACGCUCUGUGCAGCCAGUGUUACUUCCUCCGACAUCAGGGUGGUGGGAAGAAAAGCUGACAGAACCAGCCAACUAAAAACUGUGUGCAACAGCAAUCCACAAGAGGAGAAGACUUGCUCUUAUAAGGGUCCAACCGGUGGAUCAUGUGAAGUGUCUGGAUCUGCUUAUGUUGUUCAGCAAAGCAACUCAACACAUUGUGGUGCAGGUCAGGUGAACAACACCUGCAGCUGCUCUGCUUACUGCAAUGGAACUGAUGCAUACUACAGUUUUAAAAUGUAUAUAAACGAUCCAGAGAUGAACGAGUCAUACGUCUUAUUCCUUAUUUCGAAGAUACGACAAACAACAAACUGUUCUCUAAGUGCAGAUGGUUCAUGUCCAUUGAACAUCGUUGCAUCUGAAUACAAGAGAGCCAAUGUGACCUGUGGACUCAUUGAAACAAAUGUUCAAAGCUGCAGAGCAGUUUUACGCUUUGCCCGUCAGGUUCCUAUCUGUGCCGUGUCGAAGGCUUUGACGAAUGUGUUUCAGGCCGAAGAACAAAUCACUUACAGCGGACUAGUGACCCGAGCAGCAAUUUGUGAAAAUUCAGCAGCCAGCAACGAUCCACUAAACUCCCUGUUCACGUGGUUUAAAGUGAAUCUAACGCCUGCUGAACUUUGUCUGGCAAGCGACAAUUCUCACCUCCUGAACUGUCAAAAUGGAAAAGAUUUGGCCUUGCUGUUGAACGAGAGUUGUGUACACCGGCCGUCUACCACAUCCAGCCCAAGUGUCACCACAUUGCAACCAAACACCACCUUGUCGGUGAAUGUAACCUCACCCCCGCUGAACGCAACAACGGAAGCCAUGAAUACCACCACCGCCGCUAGCGCUAACGUCACAGUGACAAAUUCACUCAACAACACAACUUUAACCCCGCUAAACACAACUGAAGCCCUGAAUACCACCGCAACCACUGUAAGCUCCAACGCCACAUUGACAACAACACUCAACAACACAACUUUAACCCCGCUGAACACAACAACUGAAGCCCUGAAUACCACCGCAACCACUGUAAGCUCCAACGCCACAGCGACAACAACCCUCAACAACACAACUACAACCACCGCAAAUGAGUCUGUUUCUCUUGCCCCAUCAGAGAGCCCAACAACCACCCUAUCAGGUGUGUUAUCAGCAACAUUUGUGUGCAACAUUUAUGUUAUUUUUGCAUCAUUUCAGAGCAUCUCUUUUCAGUGUUGUUCUUUGUUGUUGACUCCAGCUGACAGCCAAGCCAACGCACUACUUGAUCUGACCAGAGACGUGUCCAACCUGAACUCCAGCCAGGUGGAGCAACUGGUGUCUCAGCUGGAGGAUCUUUUGUCGGGCCCGACCGUCAGCCUGGAGCUGGGAAACACCUCCGUCCGCAUUGUCAGCAAUCUGCUGGACGCUUCUCCUGAGGUGCUGGCCACCACCUCCAACAGGUUACUGAUGAAUUCAUCUGGCAUUCAAUGA
rnacentral:lncRNA from 1 species